rnacentral:rRNA from 1 species
AUUGAACGCUGGCGGCAGGCUUAACACAUGCAAGUCGAGCGGAGAUGAGGUGCUUGCACCUUAUCUUAGCGGCGGCCGGGUGAGUAAUGCUUACGAAUUGGCCUCUUAGUGGGGGACAAUAUUCCGAAAGGAAUGCUAAUACCGCAUACGCCCUACGGGGGCAAGCCGGGGAACUUCGGACCUUGCGCUAAUAGAUGAGCCUAAGCUGGAAUAGCUAGUUGGUGGGGUAAAGGCCUACCAAGGCGACGAUCUGUAUCGGGUCUGCGAGGAUGAUCCGCCACACUGGGACUGAGACACGGCCCAGACUCCUACGGGAGGAAGCAGUGGGGAAUAUUGGACAAUGGGCUGAAGCCUGAUCCAGCCACGCCGCGUGUGUGAAGAAGGCCUUUUGGUUGUAAAGCACUUUAAGCGAGGAGGAGGCUACCUGGAUUAAUACUCUAGGAUAGUGGACGUUACUCGCAGAAUAAGCACCGGCUAACUCUGUGCCAGCCGCCGCUGUAAAAC